UACGGGGGGAGCGAACGUUGUUCGGAAUCACUGGGCGUAAAGGGCGCGUAGGCGGGGAGGUAAGUCGGGUGUGAAAUCCCUCGGCCCAACCGAGGAACUGCGCCCGAGACUGCUUCUCUUGAGUCCCGGAGAGGAAGAUGGAAUUCCCGGUGUAGCGGUGAAAUGCGUAGAUAUCAAGAGGAACACCUGAGGUGAAGACGGGUUGCUGGGCUGACACUGACGCUGAGGCGCGAAAGCUAGGGUAGCAAACGGG
rnacentral:rRNA from 1 species